GUGUAGCGAAAACUAACUUUGAGUCCUUUUGACAGAAGUUUGCACGGAUUAUGAAUAAGUUUUCGUCGAAGUCUUAAAAUUCGACUCUUUUAUUUUACAUAUCAGGAUUUUGAAUAUAUUAGUAUAGUUGAAAAACAGUUAUUCUGUAAUCCCUGUGCGAUUUCUUAGGGUAUUUACAAAAAUGCAUACAUGUCGACAGUUAUUAAAUAGUCCGGCACGGUGGAAAUCUGCACUACCUUUCAAUUUCAAACAAACAAUACUCUACAACAAAUCAGAUCAGGGCUAUUUAUUUCAGUACACCGUGCAAGAAUGUCGUCAAUACUCAGCACGGAAGGGGUUCUUCUCGUCCAUCAUCGAGAACAUCAAGGAGGACAUAGCAAAGAACAAGGAGAUGAAGGACAACAUCAAGAAGUUCCGCGAGGAGGCACAGAAGCUAGAGAACUCAGAAGCAUUGCUGGCUGCGAGAAGAAAGUUCCAUGCUGUUGAAUCAGAAGCUUCCAAGAGCUCGGAAGUACUGAAGGAGACGCUAGAAGGCAUCAAGGGCAAGAUGGAGCAUGUCAUUGAAGAAGCUAGCAAAACUGAGAUUGCCAAGAAAGCUGGACAAAUAAAAGAAGACUUAUCGAAGACUGCAAAGGGUGCAGCUGAGAGCAUAGCAGACACGGGCUCCAAGCUGGGUCAGACUACUGCUUUCAGGACCAUUUCACAAGCGACGGCGGUAGUGAAGGACGAGAUAUCACCGCGCGGGCUGGAGGGCCGCGUGUACAUGGCGCCCGCCGCGCUACGGAAACGUGUCGAGGUUGCUUCGGACGAGCGAACAUUCGCCCCGGACACAGAGACUGUAGGCGUGGAGCUACACAAGGACUCCAAGUUCUACCAGCAGUGGGAGAACUUCAAGAACAACAACCAGUAUUUCAAUAAGGUACUAGAUUGGAAAAUUAAAUACGAAGAAUCCGACAAUCCUGUGGUAAAAGCGUCUCGGUUCGUCACGGAGAAGGUAGGCAGCUUGUUCGGCAACAUAUUCGAAAAGACGGAACUGUCCAAGACGCUCACCGAAAUCUGCAAGAUCGACCCCAACUUUACGGCACAGAAGUUCCUCGAGGACUGCGCGAACGAUAUCAUACCGAAUAUUCUCGAAGCCAUGGUACGUGGAGACUUAGAUAUACUUAAGGAUUGGUGCUACGAGGGAGUGUUCAACAUUCUGGCGACGCCCAUCAAACAGUGCAAACACCUCGGCUAUCACCUGGACUCAAAGAUCCUGGACAUCGAACAGAUAGAGCUGGUCAUGGGUAAGAUGAUGGACCAGGGACCAGUGCUCGUGAUCACAUUCCAGUCGCAGCAGAUCAUGUGCGUCAGGGACAGCAAGAACAAAGUGAUAGAGGGCGACCCCGACAAGGUGAUGCGCGUCAACUACGUGUGGGUGCUCUGCCGCGACCCGCAGGAGCUCAACCCCAAGGCGGCCUGGCGGCUGCUCGAGCUCUCCGCCAGCAGCGUCGAGCAGUUAAUAUAGGAGAACUAUUGUAGACUUGAAUUAAAUCGUUGACAUUUUAUUAUAUGGUUUUUAUAAACCUGUUCAAGAUUUCCUGCACUAGACUGUUAUGUGAAACUAUAGCGAGUUAAUUAAUUAGUUACGACUUAAAUGAUAAUAGAAAGUCUAUGAAAUAUUAUAUGUCUCUAAUAUUGUAUAUGUAUCGCUUAUGUAAACAGUCAUGUGUAAAAUAUUGCCAAAGCGGUAUCUACCAGCCAAUGUAAAUAAUGUACCAUGUUUAAGUUAUCCCAGAAGUUACAAAUAGUUUCGUUUGCAAUCGGAUUAGAGCUGUGUUCAAUCGGGAAUUUACUUUUAAGUUUUUUAAUACUCUGAAACCUGGUCAUACAUGGGUACAAAGUUUGUACCUAACAAUGUCAUGUAUUUUCUGUUUAUCUUUAACUACUGAAUAUUGGUGAAAUAUGUUCCUAUCCAAUGAAAUAGCGUAGUCCGUUGUUAGUAAUGAUGAAACAAACGUAUCAUAAGAUGCAAUAGUGGUACCAGCGCGUUGAACGUGUAAGGAAAGGUUUUAGAGUAACAUUAUGUUUUGAGUAAUAAUUUAUGUUUAUUUUGUAUCACUAUUAGUUCGUUUCGAACGAUUUAUUAUUUAUUUUAAUAAAUUGUUUUUAUUUUU
rnacentral:misc_RNA from 1 species